rnacentral:rRNA from 1 species
AUGGCCGGGUUCGCCACCUCGCGGCCGGCCUCCCUCGCGCUGUGCGGCUUCCUCAUCUUCCUCAACGUCUUCGCCUUCCUCCUCGCCGUCGGCGCCGAGCAGCGACGCAGCACCGGCAAGGUGGUGCCGGACGAGUACGACGAGCGCUCCUACUGCCUCUACGACACGGACGCCUCCACCGUCUACGGCGUCUGCGCCUUCUUCGUGCUCCUCCUGGCGCAGCUGCUGGUCACCGGCGUCACCCGCUGCCUCUGCUUCGGCCCGGCCCUCUCCUCCCGCGGAUGCGCCGUCGCCGCCUUCGCCGUCUCCUGGCUGACGUUCCUCGUCGCGGAGGCCUGCCUCGUCGGAGGAUCAGCGAAGAACGCGUACCACACCAAGUACCUUGGCUACUACACAAAGCAUGACCUGGUCAGCUGCGCCGCGCUCCGCAAGGGGGUGUUUGCGGCGGCUGCCGCCAUGAUGCUCAUCAACCUUGUGGCCUCCCUGGUGUACUACUGGAGCUACUCGAAGGCGGCGGACGGCGGGUUCAUCAAGCACCAGAACGAGGCCGGCGUGGGCAUGACCGACUACGGCCUCGACAGGGGCGGCGGCCCUGGGCUCUGA